GCAUCUUCAGCCAGCAGAGUUUAUCAAGCAUGUGUUCAGUGCAAAUGCUCAGACUUGGACAUGAUGCAAAAGCAAUUAAGAGAAAGAACAGGCUUUGACAUGUAUUAUUUGAUGUAGCACUCAUGGGCACCAUGAUGAGGAGCUCUUAAAUCAGCUUAAGAAAGGUGAACUACUAAGAUCAAAAGAGUGUUCCUUUUUCCUGAUGGAGUCUCCCUCUGUCACCAGGCUGCAGUGCCUUGGCCCGAUCUCGGCUCACUGCAACCUCAGCCUCCUGGGUUCAAGCGAUUCUCCUGCCUCAGCCUCCUGAGUAGCUGGGACUGCAUGCGAGCACCACCACAUCCAGCUAAUUUUUGUAUUUUUAGUAGAGACGGGGUUUCACGAUGUUGGCCAGGAUGGUCUCUACCUCCUGACCUCAUGAUCCACCCACCUCAGCCUCCCAAAGUGCUGGCAUUACAGGCAUGAGCGACUGCGCCCCGC
rnacentral:lncRNA from 10 species